CACGAAUAGGAGACUCUAAGGUAAUAUUUACUUUGGUUUACAUUUCAUAAAAAAAGAAGACUGUAAUUUCAUGGAGGCUCUAACAGAAAUUCCUCUUUCUAUCCAAGCGGAAGAAAUCAUGUUCAGGACCUUUCCCCCAGGGCUCAAGGAAAGCACAUUAACAUGGCAACUCCCACUUUGCUUUAUUUGCAAGUUACCCUUGCAGGAGGAUGAGGUUGGAAUUGAGACAAGCUAUAAGUGAACUAACAGGCCAAAGCCUGGGACAUUAAGGGGUAGGCAAAGAUGCUGAGAGGAUAAUCCCAAAGAUGCAGCUCUCCAGCUGAUGAAAAUCAGAAGAGCCAGAUAAUCACUGAGAUAGAUUUUCACCUAGACAGAAGGUAAUUGCAGUGGCUGUAAGCACAAGGGGCGCAGUGGUGACUCCAGUUCUGCCUGUCACCCUUGCCACCACUGACCUUCCCGGCCCUGUGUUUUGGGAUGCUAGAGGAGGGGCUGAGGCCCUUUGAGUGACCUGAAAGGAUGAGCAGGAGGCCUGUCCAGAGCAGCAGUGGGAAAAGACACGUGCAGCGAGCCCUGAGCGUGGGGGAAGCAGAGCUGCAGCCUGUUGCAGACACAGGAGCCUCUGGAGCACAGGUGAUCCCAGGACCUCUCCACACUGAGGCUGAAGGAGCUCUGGCCAGGUGGGACAGUGCCAGUGCCACAGCCAGGCCGGUGCCCAGCCCUGCUCUGCUCCUGCCUUGGGACACUCGGACGCUCGGACAGGGGGAAGAGAAAGCCCCAGGUGGUCUCUGAGCCUCUGCCUCAGCUCCGAAUGGCGAGGCCGGGCAGCAGCGGCAGCGCUGAAGAUGUAGGGAGGAUCUGGAGGAAAAGGUCCAUCCAGGAAGGAACCAGCCCACUUGGAUCCCAGGGGAUCCCUGGAGCUUGUGAACCACAGUUCAGCCCACGAGGGAAUUCACAGUGACAGAGCUGGGGGAAGAGGAGGGGAGCAGCCACUGCUCUCCUGACUGGGUGAUGUAUGGGAAAGUCCCCAGGCAAAAGUUAUCUGGGGUUCAACAGGGCAGGAGUGGGGUUAAACCCAGGCCCAAGUUAGGAACCCCUGAGUGUUCAAAGGAAAGGUUUUAUGAGUAAAGACAAUGUCCUUCCCUGAGUGAAGAUUAAACCCUUCCCAAUCUUCCCUUGCAACAGACAAACGACUUAAUAACUGUCUGCAUAUUCUCCAGAAGGUUUUUAAAAAUAACUGAAAGGGUUUGUAGAAUUGGUGUCUCUAACUUGAAAAACAGGGACUGAUGUAAGAACAUAUUUUCUUUUUUUUCCAAGAGCCCAAAACAUUGCAGUUUUUCCCUUCUUCCCACAAGUAGUACCAUAUUCUUGGGAGAUACAAAUUAUCCUGAGGACAGGGACAAUGCAGAAGCAUGUCCUUCUGGUCCAAAAGUGCCCUGUGCAUGUUCCAGCUGAUCCCAGGUGGAUGAUAGAUCUUCUACAAAAUUUAUCCUUUUGUUCUGUGCUUAUUGCUAAAAUCCCUAUUCAUUCUUAAGUGAAGUUUUUUGUACAAUUUAUGAAAUCUGGCCAUCUUCUAGGUGUUUUAGGAAUAUACAUUGAGAAGAAGAAGAACAACAACAACAACAACAACAAGAUCAAGAACAAGAACAAGAACAAGAACAAGAACAAGCAGUAAACUUUUUGGAAAAUUAACCAGUGUUGCCACCACAGAUUACCAGUACAGUGAUGUUUUAAAAUGAUGCUCCUUUACCAUCCUCCACAAGACCAGUGUUAAUUAAAAUUAAACACCAGU
rnacentral:lncRNA from 1 species